CGGAUGUAGCCAAGGG
rnacentral:tRNA from 1 species